UAAGCGCGCACACACACACGUGCUAUCCGCUAAAAAAACACACACACACAGAUGCUAAAAACGAUAUCCGGCGCGAGCGGCCGAGGAAAACGCUUGCUAUUACGAAUGGUUGCCGCACUGCUCCCUCUCUCGCGAAGUUUCCGGUGACUUCCGUGCCGUGAGAUGUGGUUCCCAGGCUCCCUGCAGUGCUGAACGGCUGAUUGCUUCAAGGGUAGCUGGCGGAGAGAUACGUGGGAGUCAGGGAAUCAAAGACUUCGAAAGACCGAACCGCUACAGGCGAGAAUGUGUACAGAUAGUGCUUUAAUUUCAGGCAACCAUUUUUUCCUCCACAACAUGUUUCUGCUCUUCCAAUAUAACGAUUUUUCUUUGUGAAAGGCAAGGCAAUAAGCUAGGUGGAACCUCAUGGAAUUUUUCAGAACUUUUGCUAAGCUAUGUUGCAUUGCAGCUCUAUUAUCUACUAUGUCCAGUUUCUGAUAUUCAUGAUACGCUUUAAAAUAAUUUGCGCUUGUUCUAA